rnacentral:tRNA from 1 species
GCGGGUAUCGUAUAAUGGCUAUUACCUCAGCCUUCCAAGCUGAUGAUGCGUGUUCGAUUCCCGCUACCCGCUCCA